rnacentral:rRNA from 1 species
UUCCGGUUGAUCCUGCCGGACCCGACUGCUAUUUGGGUGAGGAUAAACCAUGCGAGUUGUAUGGGAUACCUAAAUUUCCCAUAGCAAACUGCUUAGUAACACAUGAUCAACUUACCCUAUGGAGAAAUAUAACCUCGGGAAACUGAGGAUAAUGCUUCAUAGUUGAAUAGGCUUGGAAAAGUUUUUCAAUGAAAGGGAUAAGAUAAAUGGUUCUUAUCUGCCAUAGGAUAGGAUCGUGCUCGAUUAUGGUUGUUGGUGAGGUAACGGCUCACCAAGCCGAUAAUCGAUAGGGGCCGUGAGAGCGGGAGCCCCAAGAUGGGUACUGAGACAGCGACCCAGGCCUUACGAGGCGCAGCAGGUACGAAACCUCCGCAAUACACGAAAGUGUGACGGGGUUACCCAAAGUGUUCUUAUAGAACUGUGGCAGGUGAGUAAUGUCCCCUGCUAGAAAGGAGAGGGCAAGGCUGGUGCCAGCCGCCGCGGUAAAACCAGCUCUUCAAGUGGUCGGGAUAAUUAUUGGGCUUAAAGUGUCCGUAGCCGGUUUAGUAAGUUCCUGGUAAAAUCAGGUAGCUUAACUAUCUGCAUGCUAGGAAUACUGCUAUACUAGAGGGCGGGAGAGGUCUGAGGUACCACAGGGGUAGGGGUGAAAUCUUAUAAUCCUUGUAGGACCACCAGUGGCGAAGGCGUCAGACUGGAACGCGCCUGACGGUGAGGGACGAAAGCCAGGGGAGCGAACCGGAUUAGAUACCCGGGUAGUCCUGGCCGUAAACGAUGCAUACUAUGUGAUGGUACGGCCAUGAGCCGUGUCAGUGCCGUAGGGAAACCGUUAAGUGUGCCGCCUGGGAAGUACGGUCGCAAGGCUAAAACUUAAAGGAAUUGGCGGGGGAGCACCACAAGGGGUGAAGCCUGCGGUUCAAUUGGAGUCAACGCCGGGAAAUCACUAGUGCGGC